UACGUAGGAGGCAAGCGUUUGUCCGGAAUUACUGGGCGUAAAGCGAGUGUAGGCGGUUCCUAAGUCGGAUGUGAAAUCUCCGGGCUUAACCCGGAAAGGUCAGCCGAUACUGCGGGGCUAGAGUGCAGAAGGGGCAACUGGAAUUCUCGGUGUAGCGGUGAAAUGCGUAGAUAUCGAGAGGAACACCUGCGGCGAAGGCGGGUUGCUGGGCUGACACUGACGCUGAGGCGCGAAAGCUAGGGGAGCGAACGGG
rnacentral:rRNA from 1 species